GACGACAAAAAAAUACAUAGAGAGACAUAAAGAGGAGAGGAAGAUACAAAUAAAGGAACAAUUUUUUGAGUAAAAAGGGUUUUGCUAUCAAGAAUAAUUGGGAAGGAGGAAGUCAUUGGAGCACCAAAAGUGUUGAAGGGGUAACACCAUUAAAGGAGAGUUAUAAGAGGUAAGUACUACGCUUUGAAAUAUUGUGUUAGCAUAUUUUAGCCAUGUGUGAGUGCGUAUUUUGUUUGUACAAUGGUUUCCAUUCUUGAAAAUUAGUUUUGUUACAUUAUCAUUUUACUUCAUAGUACAUUUCUCUAUAUAUUUCCUUUUUUUCAAUACACCCUGACAUUGCAAUUAUCCCAAACAAAAUCAUUGAUCACUCUCCUUCAACCACUACUCUCCCUUGCCAAUCCCCACCUUCAACAUACCCAAAGCCAAUACGCAAAAAGAUUCAUCAUGUUCCACUAAUCAACACUAAUUAUUUUCCAUUCUCAUUGCAUUCAACCUUCGGCUACUCCCUUUUGGGUUUUUACCCUCAUCAUCUAACACCUAUCCUCUCUUCUUCAUUUAUUUUCAUCCCAAGAUCCAUAAACAAAUACAUUAUUCCACCAAUUGUCAAUCCUCACG
rnacentral:lncRNA from 1 species